UACGUAGGGUGCGAGCGUUAAUCGGAAUUACUGGGCGUAAAGCGUGCGCAGGCGGUUGGUUAAGUCUGAUGUGAAAGCCCCGGGCUCAACCUGGGAAUGGCAUUGGAAACUGGCUGGCUAGAGUGUGGCAGAGGGGGGUGGAAUUCCAUGUGUAGCGGUGAAAUGCGUAGAGAUAUGGAGGAACACCAGUGGCGAAGGCGGCUUCCUGGUCUGUAACUGACACUGAGGCGCGAAAGCGUGGGGAGCAAACAGG
rnacentral:rRNA from 1 species